CCGAUCUUAGCUCAGUUGGUAGAGCGGAGGACUGUAAUGUACACUGAUAUCCUUAGGUCGCUGGUUCGAUUCCGGCAGAUCGGA
rfam:Selaginella moellendorffii unplaced genomic scaffold SELMOscaffold_121, whole genome shotgun sequence.